rnacentral:ncRNA from 1 species
UUGAGCCGUGUGAAGGGAAACUUUCACGCACGGUUCUGAUGUGGGCGGCUUCCCGAACAUGU